rnacentral:rRNA from 1 species
UACGUAGGGGGCAAGCGUUGUCCGGAAUCAUUGGGCGUAAAGCGCGUGUAGGCGGCCCGGUAAGUCCGCUGUGAAAGUCCAGGGCUCAACCCUGGAAUGCCGGUGGAUACUGUCGGGCUAGAGUCCGGAAGGGGCGAGUGGAAUUCCUGGUGUAGCGGUGAAAUGCGCAGAUAUCAGGAGGAACACCAAUGGCGAAGGCAGCUCGCUGGGACGUGACUGACGCUGAGACGCGAAAGCGUGGGGAGCAAACAGG